rnacentral:rRNA from 1 species
CCUACGGGAGGCAGCAGUGAGGAAUAUUGGUCAAUGGGCGCGAGCCUGAACCAGCCAAGUCGCGUGAGGGAAGACGGUCCUAUGGAUUGUAAACCUCUUUUGUCGGGGAGCAAAAGACGCCACGCGUGGCGUUCCGAGAGUACCCGAAGAAAAAGCAUCGGCUAACCCCGUGCCAGCAGCCGCGGUAAUACGGAGGAUGCGAGCGUUAUCCGGAUUUAUUGGGUUUAAAGGGUGCGUAGGCGGAAGAUCAAGUCAGCGGUAAAAUUGAGGGGCUCAACCUCUUCGAGCCGUUGAAACUGGUUGUCUUGAGUGGGCGAGAAGUAUGCGGAAUGCGUGGUGUAGCGGUGAAAUGCACAGAUAUCACGCAGAACUCCGAUUGCGAAGGCAGCAUACCGGCGCUCAACUGACGCUCAUGCACGAAAGUGUGGGUAUCGAACAGGAUUAGAUACCCCUGUAGUC